UCCCUGGUGGUCCAGUGGUUAGGACUCCGCACUGCCACUGCAGGGGGCCCAGGUUCAAUCCCUGACUGGGGAA